rnacentral:rRNA from 1 species
CUGCAAUGGCUCUUUUCGUUUAGUUAUUGGGAAGAGAAAACUUGGAUAACCGAGUAAUUCUAGGGCUAAUAAAGAGGAAGUCCUCUGGUGAGGUGUGUUUAUUAGAAUGAAAACCAUAUGCUUCGGCAUGAUAGUGAGUAAUAGUACUUUAUCGUAUCGCAUGCUUAAUGUAGCGAUGAGUCUUUCAAGUUUCUGCCCUAUCAGCUUUCGAUGGUAGUAUAGUGGGCCUACCAUG